GCUGACCAGCUAGCCCACCCUAACAAAAACAACAACCCAAUAUAAAUAACCCCAAACACACUACUCCUCCUAUAAACAAACCAUUUUACCCCCCUAGUAUGGGCGACAGAAAAGGAACUAUUGGAGCGAUAGAGAAAGUACCGCAAGGGAACGCUGAAAGAGAAAUGAAAUAACCCAGUAAAGCCUAAAAAAGCAGAGAUUUUACCUCGUACCUUUUGCAUCAUGAUUUAGCUAGUACUACCCAAGCAAAGAGAACUUUAGUUUGGACCCCCGAAACUAGGUGAGCUACUCCAAGACAGCCUAUCAAUAGGGCAAACCCGUCUCUGUGGCAAAAGAGUGGGAAGAGCUUUGAGUAGAGGUGACAGACCUACCGAACCUAGUUAUAGCUGGUUGCCUGAGAAUUGGAUAGGAGUUCAGCCUCCAGGCUUCUCUAUUCACCGCGGUCUUACCCCUACCGAUGCACUAAAGAAGCCUAGAGAGUUAAUCAAAGGGGGUACAGCCCCUUUGAGACAAGAUACAACUUUUCCAGGAGGGUAAAGAUCAUAUUUACCCAAGGUAACAAUGCCCAGGUGGGCCUAAAAGCAGCCAUCCUUACAGAAAGCGUUAAAGCUCAAGCAUUACACCUUCCCACAUAUUCAGAUAACCAUAUCCCAACCCCCUAAUAUUAUCAGGCCAUCUCAUGCAUACAUGAGAGUGCACAUGCUAAUAUGAGUAACAAGAGAGCAUCCGCCUCUCUCCUUGCACACGUGUAAAUCGGAACGAACCCCCACCGAAACUUAACGGCCCCAAACAAAGAGGGCAAUGAACAACAAGUAAGCAACCAGAAAACCAUCCAAAAAACAACCGUUAACCCCACACUGGUGUGCCAUUAAGGAAAGACUAAAAGAAAAAGAAGGAACUCGGCAAACAUACCAAGCCUCGCCUGUUUACCAAAAACAUCGCCUCUUGCAAAAACAAAGAAUAAGAGGUCCAGCCUGCCCUGUGACUAUAUGUUUAACGGCCGCGGUAUUUUAACCGUGCGAAGGUAGCGCAAUCACUUGUCUUUUAAAUGGAGACCUGUAUGAAUGGCAUUACGAGGGCUUAACUGUCUCCUUUUUCUAGUCAGUGAAAUUGAUCUCCCCGUGCAGAAGCGGGGAUAUAACCAUAAGACGAGAAGACCCUAUGGAGCUUUAGACACCAAGGCAUAUCAUGUCAAACACCCCUAAACAAAGGACUAAACCAAAUGAAUCAUACCCCCAUGUCUUUGGUUGGGGCGACCGCGGGGAAAUAAAAAACCCCCACGUGGAAUGGGAGUACUACCUCCUACAACCAAGAGCUGCAGCUCUAAAAAACAGAAUAUCUGACCAAUAAGAUCCGGCAACGCCGAUCAACGGACCGAGUUACCCUAGGGAUAACAGCGCAAUCCCCUUUUAGAGCCCAUAUCGACAAGGGGGUUUACGACCUCGAUGUUGGAUCAGGACAUCCUAAUGGUGCAGCCGCUGUUAAGGGUUCGUUUGUUCAACGAUUAAAGUCCUACGUGAUCUGAGUUCAGACCGGAGUAAUCCAGGUCAGUUUCUAUCUAUGAUAUGUUCUUUUCUAGUACGAAAGGACCGAAAAGAAGAGGCCAAUGCUAAAAGCACGCCUCACCCCUCCUAUUGAAAACAACUAAAAUAGGCAAAAGGGCAUACCCCUCCACGCCCAAGAUAAUGGCAU
rnacentral:rRNA from 1 species